UGGACCUACUUUUCUUGGUUAAUCAGUCUAAUAAUUUCUUCCUCUUUAUAUGCAAGACUCAUGAACGUUUUCCUCAUUUAUUUGGACAAAUAAAGCUGGAAGAUUUUAUGCCAUGGUCGAGUUUUUUUUCUAGAAUCAUUCGUCAUAGGAGGUAACAAAAAUGUCAUAAUGCAUUCUAAUGCUUCCAAGCCAAAGUUAAUGAGCUUUACGGAUUGGUUUGCUCACUUUGGUCUGUUGAGCAGUCCAAGAUUGACAUAUGGGAUCAUUACCAAAAUAUGAAUAACUAGAAGUUGACCAAUCUCAACAAGACACUUGAGGAAGAUCAACUUAUGAUGGAUCAAGAAGUAUUGUGUUUCCGAUCAUGCACUCCUUUCUUUUCUGAAACAUUGAAGGUUCCUAUUAUGUUCAUCAACAACAUGGCUCAUGUUCAUUUGUUGUGUUGACUUGCAUCUCUUUCUCCGAGUUCAAUGGUUUGCUGUUGCAUGUCACAUGUUUGUGAACAUUUAUUUAUGCUAUCAAAAUGGGCAUAUGGUUUUGUAGCACUGGUAUUAAGAUGUCAGAUGAAUAUCCCUUGUGAA